AUGUCUCCACUGGAAUAUCUGAAUUGUAUUUUUCCUCCCAUAGAAAAUGAAACAGUGAAUCUACAAAAUUUUAUUAGGGAAUUGUCUAAGAAUGAAAAAUACCAAGAAAUUCCAAGUAAACCUCCAGAGACAAAGAUGACUUCAAAACAGAAAUAUGACUUGCUGACUCAACCUGUAAGAGGAGACUCUGAAAGCCUGGAGGAGAAACACCAAGCCAUAUUUAAGAUUAUUGAUGAUCUGAUCUUGAGAAAAGAAGAAACAAUCCCAGCUGAAGAACUGAAAUCCUUACUUUCGGAUUUCGAUAUUACUGUAAGAGCUGACUCUGUCAUUGAUGUGUUGGAAAGAGUGUCUAUUGAUGAAGGUGGAAGUGUGGGUCUUAAAGACUGUUUGUUGGCGUUGGACAGUAUUCAAAGACUUCGAGAUGACCAAGGUAAUAAAGAAAUAGUUUGCAUAAAACUUAUAUUACAAUAG
rnacentral:lncRNA from 1 species